UAGGGAAUCUUCGGCAAUGGGGGGAACCCUGACCGAGCAACGCCGCGUGAGUGAAGAAGGUUUUCGGAUCGUAAAGCUCUGUUGUUAAGGAAGAACGAGUGUGAGAAUGGAAAGUUCAUGCUGUGACGGUACUUAACCAGAAAGGGACGGCUAACUACGUGCCAGCAGCCGCGGUAAUACGUAGGUCCCGAGCGUUGUCCGGAUUUAUUGGGCGUAAAGCGAGCGCAGGCGGUUAGAAAAGUCUGAAGUGAAAGGCAGUGGCUCAACCAUUGUAGGCCUUGGAAACUGUUUAACUUGAGUGCAGAAGGGGAGAGUGGAAUUCCAUGUGUAGCGGUGAAAUGCGUAGAUAUAUGGAGGAACACCGGUGGCGAAAGCGGCUCUCUGGUCUGUAACUGACGCUGAGGCUCGAAAGCGUGGGGAGCGAACAGG
rnacentral:rRNA from 2 species